CGUCCAGACUCCUACGGGAGGCAGCAGUGGGGGAUAUUGCACAAUGGGGGGAACCCUGAUGCAGCGACGCCGCGUGGGUGAAGGAGUAUUUCGGUAUGUAAAGCCCUAUCGGCAGGGAAGAAGCAAGACGGUACCUGACUAAGAAGCCCCGGCUAACUACGUGCCAGCAGCCGCGGUAAUACGUAGGGGGCAAGCGUUAUCCGGAUUUACUGGGUGUAAAGGGGGCGCAGACGGCGAUGCAAGCCAGGAGUGAAAGCCCGGGGCCCAACCCCGGGACUGCUCUUGGAACUGCGUGGCUAGAGUGCAGGAGGGGCAGGCGGAAUUCCUGGUGUAGCGGUGAAAUGCGUAGAUAUCAGGAGGAACACCGGUGGCGAAGGCGGCCUGCUGGACUGCAACUGACGUUGAGGCCCGAAAGCGUGGGGAGCAAACAGGAUUAGAUACCCCCGUAUU
rnacentral:rRNA from 1 species